rnacentral:lncRNA from 1 species
AUAGGAUCUUUUCUCCUGGAUUCUUCUAUCCCUUUGUUCCUGUUCCCUCUCUCUAAUGGGACUGCUCAUUGUUCUUAAAUAUAUAGUAUAUAGUAGCUGGUUUAGUGGCCACAUCCCAUGGUACUAGGUCAGGUUAUAGGCUGGUGACUGGCCCAAGUAUGGGCCAAGUGCCAUCAGUCAAUUGUGCUUGAAGAUGAAUGCUGCCAACUAAUCAUAACGCCUGGUCACUUGUUAUGAAGGCAUUGAAGAAUUGCCUAGUAAGUCAACAGUAUGUGUUCCUACUUAAACCAGAACUUGUGUUGGACCAAGCUGGAGUUGAAGCCAGACACUGCUGAGCUUGGAUGGGGGCCCUGAUCUCUAUGUAGACCUCAGCAGAGGAUGACACUGGCCAGUUGUGGCCCAGUGGCUGGGCAUCCUCACCCUGACACUGAACGGAACACGUGAGCAGUAGAUUCCCCAACAGUCAUUGCUGUGGAGCAGCCAGGAAAUCUUCCCAGCAGGCAUGCAGCUGACACAGGAGACAACUAGGGAUCUUUCUUAUCUUUCUCUGGGAGCACUGGUCUUUCCCACAAGUGGCAUCUGAUUCUCCCCUUGGAGUCUAGGACACACAGGGAACUAGAGACCCACAUGACUGAGUAAUGUGGGCUCCAUUCAACUCUGAACCUGUCCAGGCUGGCCCAUGGGAUGGGUGGGGCUGUCUGGCUCUGGGAAGACAUGCUGAGAAGACCAAGCCACCUCUGCUCAAAGGACUUACAGUUCUUGCGUGGGGCUCAUCCCUAUACUACAUGACUUGGUUACUAUUCCUUCUGAGAAUCUGCAGUUGCCUCACAGACUAAACCUCUUGCUAAAACAAGACUUCAGCCUCAAGGCCCCUGGUUCAUACUCAGCAGAAGUAUCUUCCCACAUCUGCCUUAAAGUCUCCCACAUUCUUGUUACAGCUCCUGGUCAGAAGCAGGUACUGCCCCAUUACCCUGGUAGCAGUAGCCCUGCAGCCCAGGCUUUGUGUGGAAGCUGGCCUUCUCACGGUGGCUAUGGCUUGGCAUAGGGACAUUCCCUCGGUGGCUCUUGAGCGAAGGCACUCCCAAGCAUUUGCCUUGGAGACUGGAUUAUCUCUCCCUUAGCUGUGGUAGAAGAGACUUCGGGGCUUUCAUCCUGUGUGAACAGUUCUAGGACUGGAUACCUUCCCAACUGACAGUUGCAACAAGACCAAGCUUUGGGCAGCUCUGGCAAUAGCCACACCUACAUCCUGCCAGUGGGACAGCAUUUAGUGCUUGGUGGGGCCAAUGUAUCCUCAACCAGGCAGGUCUGUGGUGUGGCCUCGGAACCUCGGGCCCUAGUAUUCCUGUGAGUUCUGCGGGCCACCCCUAGUUUUCAUCAUGAGUUCUUUCUGCUUAAUCUGGCAAAACUGUUUUGUUGCUGGUGACAAAGAAUGCUGGCUGAGAAGUUGCUAGCUGGGCUGGCUGCAGGAAACUGUCUUCAGGGAAAUGACUGGUAUGCUGGCCUGGUUGGGGCUGAAGUUGGUGACAAUCCGGCUGGUACUAAGUUGAGGCUCCCACAGCCUGUGGCAUGUGGAAACAAAACAAAUUCUCACUGAGAAUGAGGUGUCCUUAAAGCUGUUCUGCCAUCACCAGCUUAAUCACCUUUGUCACACCUUUCAUGUUUUAAAGGAGUAGCUUGCCACUCAAAGCCUCGCCUUUAGUAGACUGGUGGCUGCUGGGCCUCACUCCUCUUUAGAAGGCACCACAGUACCCUGGGCUGCUUUGGUUUUUGAAAAUGGUGUAUGUCACACUCGAGCCUCAUCGGUGGUGGUGUGACAGACUGGCAGCUUCGAGUGGUUCUCAGAGUAAGCAGAGACUUGGCUGGGACAGGAUGGAGCUGCAAAGCACUGUCACUUGGUUCCUGUGUCCCAGCAGGAUGCUGGCAUCCAAGCCUCUAGUGAACGAGGCCACUGUUUGGAACUUCCAGCAAGCCCCCAGCAGCAGGGGAAUCUUGGUGGAGGCCUCCAGUGUUUGAGGGUAGAGCCAAGCUGCCUUCCACCUGUAGCUGCUCUUGAAGUGUGGUGCUUGCUGUUUGGUCCCUACAGAAAGUGAAUACUGCCUAUGUGAUCAGGGUAUGAGUUGACACACCUAGCCAUCACCGGGCAUGCCCAGUGGUCUCAAUUGAAGUCUUUCGUAGGAGGGCACCAGCAGUCCCUGAAAACAUGUAAGUAGCAUGAACAGUUGGCUGAUGUGUACGCCUAAUUCUAUCGCACUGUUACCCACCCCUACAACUCGUGCAGAAAGCCUAGGGAACCCUGGGCCCCUUAGUAAAGCAUCUUAAUACUGGGAGACCCAGCCAUCUACCAGUCCCCAUUUGACUUCUACCAUGGAGUGGGAGGGUACUGGCCAUUUGUCAUGUCAAAGAUCGCCCUCUCCAUAGUAGAGGCAGGGGAAGUAGUCCAGGGAGUCCCAGGCCAACCUUCUGCCACUCAGGGGUGGGUAAAUAGAUGACAGCCUAACCCUGGCCAUACUACCAAGGGUAUACAUCAGUAGAAAGACUUCAGAUCAUUCCACCACCUAAAUUAGCUGAAGCUGUAGAUUAAGAGAAAGGAAACAAAUAAC